rnacentral:rRNA from 1 species
UACGUAGGUGGCAAGCGUUGUCCGGAAUUAUUGGGCGUAAAGGGCUCGUAGGCGGUUUGUCGCGUCGGGAGUGAAAUCCACUGGCUUAACUGGUGGCUUGCUUUCGAUACGGGCAGACUGGAGGUAUGCAGGGGAGAACGGAAUUCCUGGUGUAGCGGUGAAAUGCGCAGAUAUCAGGAGGAACACCGGUGGCGAAGGCGGGUCUCUGGGCCGAUACUGACGCUGAGGAGCGAAAGCGUGGGGAGCGAACAGG